UACGAAGGGGGCUAGCGUUGCUCGGAAUUACUGGGCGUAAAGCGCACGUAGGCGGAUUGCUAAGUCAGGGGUGAAAUCCUGGAGCUCAACUCCAGAACUGCCUUUGAUACUGGCGAUCUUGAGUCCGGGAGAGGUGAGUGGAACUGCGAGUGUAGAGGUGAAAUUCGUAGAUAUUCGCAAGAACACCAGUGGCGAAGGCGGCUCACUGGCCCGGUACUGACGCUGAGGUGCGAAAGCGUGGGGGAGCAAACAGG
rnacentral:rRNA from 1 species